rnacentral:rRNA from 1 species
CAGUCGCCGCGGGAAUACGGAAGGUCCAGGCGUUAUCCGGAUUUAUUGGGCGUAAAGCGAGCGCAGGCGGUUAGAAAAGUCUGAAGUGAAAGGCAGUGGCUCAACCAUUGUAGGCUUUGGAAACUGUUUAACUUGAGUGCAGAAGGGGAGAGUGGAAUUCCAUGUGUAGCGGUGAAAUGCGUAGAUAUAUGGAGGAACACCGGUGGCGAAAGCGGCUCUCUGGUCUGUAACUGACGCUGAGGCUCGAAAGCGUGGGGAGCGAACAGGAUUAGAGACCCCCGUAGUCCCUGUCUCUUAUACA